GGAAGUGCGGAACUAAUGGUCAAAAAGACAAGACUUUUCCAGCUUUGAUGCCUCCGUCUAAUUUUGAUUCUUCUCUUCGAUACUUGAGACUCUGAGGAAGUGGGAUCAGAUAUGAACUGGGUUCAACGCAAAAUCUAUCUUUACAAUGUCACGUUCGGGCUCUACAUGCUUGAUUGGUGGGAACGAUACCUCUUCAAUGGUUUGGUGGUAGUCUUGAUGUGGUUCGUAGCUUACAACGGUACACGCUACUUUUCUGAACUCUUCAAGAGGCAUUUGACAUGAAAGCAAUGUUUGGUUUCUCGUGCGCGGUAGAGCAUGAAAAGUGGAACCACCUAAGGCUUACCACGUUUGGUUUCAGUUUCGAAGACGUAUACCAACAAAACCUCUAUGCUGCUUCACCUCUAAUUCUGUUAGCUUUCCUCCAAAGUUCGAUAUCACUUAAGACUGUUCAAAUUGUCUCUGUCCUUUUUACCAUCUUUUGGAAAUAACAUAACUUAUUUGUAAACGCAUUAGAUCGCAAGCCUUCAUGUUGUAUUCCCGAUCUCUUUGAGACAUGGCCAAACCAAUACUACAAUGAUUGUGCUCUUUUUGACUCUGUGACUAGCGAAUACUACUUAUCAUU